rnacentral:lncRNA from 1 species
AGGGUUAAACUGUCAACCCUGAUUAGAUCAUCCGAAUCGUGCUCAACUCAAACAGUCCUGUGACUCCUCACAAAGACUACCCUGGUCAAGGUUUUGCUAAAUUGAAAUACGACUGUACACAGCUCCUAAACUGGAGUGGUCAAUCCCAUCUUGACACACGCACCGACAAGUCAAGUACUUGACUACACCCAGCAGCCUU